GCACUCACUUCGGCGGUACAUACACUAAAACUGGAACGAAAUAGAGAAGAUUAGUAUGUCCCCUUUUUAAGGAUGACAGAGACUGAUAUUUGAUAGUCAUCAGUGACUA
ensembl:snRNA U6 U6 spliceosomal RNA